GGCCUUUUGUUUAUAAUUUAAGGUCUAACCUGCCCACUGAGGGUUUGAAUGGCCGCGGUAUUUUGACCGUGCUAAGGUAGCAUAAUCAUUAGUUUUUUAAUUGAAAGCUGGAAUGAAUGGUUGAAUGAAAAAAAAGCUGUCUCAGAAUUAAUUAAAUUGAACUUUAUUUUUAAGUAAAAAAGCUUAAAUAAGUUUAAAAGACGAGAAGACCCUAUAGAGUUUUAUAAUUUUAUUAUUUUGUAAGUUUGGUAAUAUUGAUAUAUUUUAAUAAAAUUUAUUUAGUUGGGGUGAUUAAAAAAUUUAAUAAACUUUUUUAUUAUUAAACCAUAAAUUUAUGAAUAUUUGAUCCAUAUUGUUAUGAUUGAUAGGAAAAAUUACCUUAGGGAUAACAGCGUAAUUUUUUUUGAGAGUUCUUAUCGAUAAAGAAGAUUGCGACCUCGAUGUUGGAUUAAAAUUUAUUUUUGGUGGAGAAGCUAAAAUAUUAGGUCUGUUCGACCUUUAAAAUUU
rnacentral:rRNA from 1 species